CCCUGGUAAUCUUUAUGGUGGGCAGUUGGUAGAGCAUGAGACUCUUAAUCUCAGAGUCAUGGGUUCAAGCCCUACACUGGGCA